rnacentral:rRNA from 1 species
UACGUAGGGUGCAAGCGUUGUCCGGAAUUAUUGGGCGUAAAGAGCUCGUAGGCGGUCUGUCGCGUCGGCUGUGAAAACCCGGGGCUCAACUCCGGGCCUGCAGUCGAUACGGGCAGACUAGAGUGUGGUAGGGGAGACUGGAAUUCCUGGUGUAGCGGUGAAAUGCGCAGAUAUCAGGAGGAACACCGGUGGCGAAGGCGGGUCUCUGGGCCAUAACUGACGCUGAGGAGCGAAAGCGUGGGGAGCGAACAGG